UACAGAGGGGGCAAGCGUUGUUCGGAAUUACUGGGCGUAAAGGGCGCGUAGGCGGCCUUCUAAGUCGAACGUGAAAUCCCCGGGCUCAACCCGGGAACUGCGUCCGAUACUGGAAGGCUUGAAUCCGGGAGAGGGAUGCGGAAUUCCAGGUGUAGCGGUGAAAUGCGUAGAUAUCGGGAAGAACAUCGGUGGCGAAAGCGCUCUACUGGACCGCAACUGACACUCAGGGACGAAAGCUAGGGGAGCGAAUGGG
rnacentral:rRNA from 1 species